UACAGAGGGUGCGAGCGUUGUCCGGAAUCACUGGGCGUAAAGGGCGCGUAGGCGGCCUGGUAAGUAGGGGGUGAAAUCCUGCGGCUCAACCGCAGGGCUGCCUCCUAAACUGUCAGGCUGGAGCACGGUAGAGGCAGAUGGAAUUCCCGGUGUAGCGGUGGAAUGCGUAGAGAUCGGGAAGAACACCAGUGGCGAAGGCGGUCUGCUGGGCCGUUGCUGACGCUGAGGCGCGAUAGCAUGGGGAGCAAACAGG
rnacentral:rRNA from 1 species